GACGAACGCUGGCGGCGUGCUUAACACAUGCAAGUCGAACGGAAAGGCCCUGCUUUUGUGGGGUGCUCGAGUGGCGAACGGGUGAGUAACACGUGAGUAACCUGCCCUUGACUUUGGGAUAACUUCAGGAAACUGGGGCUAAUACCGGAUAGGAGCUCCUGCUGCAUGGUGGGGGUUGGAAAGUUUCGGCGGUUGGGGAUGGACUCGCGGCUUAUCAGCUUGUUGGUGGGGUAGUGGCUUACCAAGGCUUUGACGGGUAGCCGGCCUGAGAGGGUGACCGGCGUCAUGGGGACUGAUGUACGGCCGCGACUCCUACGGGAGGCAGCAGUGGGGAAUAUUGCACAAUGGGCGGAAGCCUGAUGCAGAAACGCCGCGUGCGGGAUGACGGCCUUCGGGUUGUAAACCGCUUUCGCCUGUGACGAAGCGUGAGUGACGGUAAUGGGUAAAGAAGCACCGGCUAACUACGUG
rnacentral:rRNA from 1 species